CACUUUCCCCUCGUCCGCCCCUUCUGCCUUCCACUUCCCCCUUUAGAUUGGUAGUACUUGAAACCCUGAUUCCCUGCCAUAUUCACCCGUCUUGACUUGUCAAAAUUGAAUCUUUACUGCUCUUUGCCGGUAAAAAUCGAAUCUUUAGUAUACCUCCUUUUUGAUAGACUGUUUUUGUGCCCUUCCGACUAUAUUAUUCUAUCUGCAAGAAUGAUCGUGAGGGCUAGAAAUAUUUUAGGUCCAUUUACUUUAAUGAUGUUAGUUUUAUCAAUAAAAAUAUGAAAAUAAAAAGAUAAAAUAAUAAAUUUAAUAUUCCGAUGGUGACAGAUGUCGUCGAAGGUGACGAAUAGGGUGAGGACGAGGGGGAGAGGAGGUGGAUGGUGGAGAGGCGACCGUGAGGGCUCUGGUUGAUGAUGACAGAAGGAGGGGUGAGCGCGAGGGGGAGAGAAGGUGGAUCGGGCGGAGGCGAUUAUGAGGGAUAUGGCCAACGACGAUAGCAGUGGCAACAAUAGGGGUGAGCACGAGGGGGAGAGGAGGCAACGACCAGGGCUCUCACGAUCGCCUCCGCCUUAUCCACCUCCUUGAGGGGUGACCACGAGGGGGAGAGGAGGUGGACGGGGUGGAGGUGAUCGUGAGGGCUUUGGCUGGCGACGAUAGCGGCAACAGUGAGAGAGGUGAGCAUGAGGGGGAGAGGAGGCAACGACUAGAGCCCUCACGGUCGCCUUUGCCCCGUCCACCUCCCUGACAUCCCCCACGCUUAUCUCCGUCGCUCUUUACUAGGUUAAGUAGUGGCGACAAUGAGGUGAGCACGAGGGGGAAGAGCAAGGCGGAGGCAUUGCUGUAAAGGGUUGCAACAACGUGCUAGGCGGCAAUGGGGGAGAGGAGGCGGAGGGCGACGACGAAGGCGUGAGGGGGAAAAGGCCGCUCCACAACUAUAUCGGCGUCAGCUCCAGCAUCAUCAUCGUCUAGCACCGUCGGAAUGUUAAAUUUAUUUACCUUUUUGUCUCUUGUUUUCGUAUUUUUGUUGAUAAAAGCUGAUGUCGUUAAGGUAAAUGGACCUAGAUGUUUUACCUUCGUAACUAUAAGGAUGUCAAUAUAACUUUUUAAAGUAUAAAGACAAAGAUACUAAAAGUGACUAACUAGAGGGUCUUGCGUGUUAGGGCUUCCUCCGAGCCAUGAUAAUUGACCAAGGUAAAGCCCUAGUGGAAGCUGUAGCCCAAAUGUUCUCAUGCUUCUCUCAUCGUUAAUGCCUCUGACAGAUUAUGAAGAGGAUUCAAUCUAUGGCAUGCUUCUUCCUGAUUACUUGAAUAAAAUAACUGGUCAAUUAUAAGCACUUGGCUACUGAAGGUGAGGAUUUGUAUGAGAUGCUAGAUCUUAAUGUCCUUGUAUGACUUUUUCCUGAAUGAGAGGACGUUUUAGCUCUAUAUGAUUUUACCAAGUUCUCUUUUUAGCAGACUGCAGUUAUCGGGAUGCUUACAAUUUUGACAAUGGAUCACCAACCAGCAUUGCCCUGUGUUCACGAAUGUAUCCAAUCUUGUAGCGAAUCUGUUAGCUGUUUUCAGAGCAUUCAAAUAUUAACGGCGGCAUUGAUCGGCAUUGAUCCACCAGACAAUCUUGGAAAUGGCAAUGCCUGGAGAGGCCAAUUUGACGAGGUCUCAUUUACAUUCUUGCAUCACAGAAAUGUCAGUCCAGUAUCAAUAAGUGAUGAUAUCAUUCCAAUUAACUAAGGUUACUCUUGCAACUGUGACCGUUUUCAAGUCACAAAAACAACACAUUGAUUUAUAUCGAAGUCUCAUGCAAUGAAUCAAUCUUCAUCCUUGGAUGCGAACAGUUGGGCUUUUUGCAGUCACUUUUGGAGAGGUUUCAGAUAUCCUUCUCAUACAGGUGAUCCUUAUCACAAUCUUGUUUUUGUUACGAUGCAAACCAUAUGUUGUAAUCUUAGAAAAAAUGACCAAAAUUGAAUAAAUAUAUCAUAUUUGUAGCCAAGAACCUUUGUCUACAAUGUUUGAUAGAAUUGUUAUUUUUAAUAAAAUAUGUUUAUAUCUUUUUCUACA